rnacentral:rRNA from 1 species
UUAACACAUGCAAGUCGAGGGGCAGCAUGGUCUUAGCUUGCUAAGGCCGAUGGCGACCGGCGCACGGGUGAGUAACACGUAUCCAACCUGCCGUCUACUCUUGGACAGCCUUCUGAAAGGAAGAUUAAUACAAGAUGGCAUCAUGAGUCCGCAUGUUCACAUGAUUAAAGGUAUUCCGGUAGACGAUGGGGAUGCGUUCCAUUAGAUAGUAGGCGGGGUAACGGCCCACCUAGUCUUCGAUGGAUAGGGGUUCUGAGAGGAAGGUCCCCCACAUUGGAACUGAGACACGGUCCAAACUCCUACGGGAGGCAGCAGUGAGGAAUAUUGGUCAAUGGGCGAGAGCCUGAACCAGCCAAGUAGCGUGAAGGAUGACUGCCCUAUGGGUUGUAAACUUCUUUUAUAAAGGAAUAAAGUCGGGUAUGGAUACCCGUUUGCAUGUACUUUAUGAAUAAGGAUCGGCUAACUCCGUGCCAGCAGCCGCGGUAAUACGGAGGAUCCGAGCGUUAUCCGGAUUUAUUGGGUUUAAAGGGAGCGUAGAUGGAUGUUUAAGUCAGUUGUGAAAGUUUGCGGCUCAACCGUAAAAUUGCAGUUGAUACUGGAUAUCUUGAGUGCAGUUGAGGCAGGCGGAAUUCGUGGUGUAGCGGUGAAAUGCUUAGAUAUCACGAAGAACUCCGAUUGCGAAGGCAGCCUGCUAAGCUGC